AAGGGAACAAAGUUAAGUGAGUCUU
rnacentral:piRNA from 1 species